CUUCUUUCCUCUUCUUUUUUGCUUCUUCUCUUUCUCUUCUCUUUUCUUUUCUUCUUCUGUUCUUCGCCUCUGGCGAUUCUAUCAGUUUAUGAGGAUGUGAGGUCACGAGAAAUAGACAAGUUAUCAUGAACUGAGUGAGGUGGUGAUGAUGUUGGAAUUUAUUUUGUUUCAGAAGAGGAAUUGGAUAAUAAGAUUUGGAGAUUAGGAUUUCUGCGAGAUGAAGUUAUGAAAGAGUUGAUUAAUUAAAAGAGGAUUUGCAUAGUUGGUGAUGAAGAACAAAGGAGGUUGGUAUUUAAUUGUAAUUCUGAAGUUUAUUCAGCGUUGAGUUGAAGAGUUAGGGUUUCGUUAAAAUUCAGGGAAACUAUUGAAAGGUGAAAUCGAUGUUCUAAGAGGUUGAUUCGAGUUGGGUAAUGAGUGAAUUGAGGAUUUGGAGUGAUAUUACAGAUGAAGCUAAGUUUUAGAGGAUGAAAUCCAAUGAUGGUGAUUUAAUUUAGGGUUCUUAAUAGAAUAGAGUUUUGAGGUUCAUGGGUUUUGAAUGUUGAUGGAAGAGAUGAUAUUAAUGGUGCGUAAUUAGACGGAGAAGAAGACUUUUGUGUUUGUUUUUGAGGUAAUAUCUUCUUACUUGAUUUAAGGAUGUUAUAUUUGUUGAAGCAUGGAUGUAAUUGAUGUUUGUGAAAUUUGGAUAUUGAACAGUGAUUUGAGUAUGGAAAUGGGAGUAAACUGGUGGUUGUGUGAUUGUGGUGGAAGUGAUAACAUUCCAUACAACUGGUGGUGUUGGUUGAAGAUAUGAACUGCUGGUGGAGUUGAAAUAGAAGAUGUUAUGUAUGUAUGACCAUGGGAAUGAUUACAGGUGAAAGAGAAUGUGUUUGGAGUUGGAGUUGGGUAUGGUGGUGUUAUUAUUGCUGCUGUGGGUUAAGGAAUGCAGGGAAGCAGUUGGAAGUAUGUUAAUAGAGGCUGUGUGAAAAUGAAUGUUAAGAAUUUGGAUAUGAUAAUGAUAUUAAGUUAACUAGUGAUUAGAGUAUAUAAAUGGAGGUGGAGAUGAAUGAAUUAAUGGUAAUAGUAAAUUGAGAAUGAAUGUAUAGAUUUCGAGUUGCUGCUGCUGUUUUUGUUUGUUAGAAUUUAGUUGUUGCUGCUAAGAAAACUGAAUUGAGGUUGAUGUGGAUAUGGUUUUGGAAGUGAACUAGUGGUGUUGUUUAUGAAGAUGAAUGUUGGGUUUUUACUGAAAAGAAUGCUUCAUGAGGGAUGAUCUGAUGUGGUGAAUUGGUUUCGUAGUUGGUGGUGUUUAUGCUGAGAGGAGAGGUUGUAACUUAAGUUGGUAUGGUUGUAUUAUUGAAGUUACAGCUGCAGUUCAAACUAUAUACAGUGGUGCAAGUUUUUUUAUUUGGAUGAUGAGUGAACUGGUGUAAGAAGAAUGAGUUAAUAGAGUUGUAGAUAGUGUUCCAGUGAAAGCUUGGGACUGCUUUUGCAGUUUCAGAGACAGAUCAGAGUUGCGCAGCGGAAGCUUAGAGGAGUUGAUUACGUUAUUUAGAUUGCUUCCGCUAUGUUUUUUUUGUGUUUAUAUUUUAUUUGUAAAUCAACUCACUAUUGUAUAUGUAUCAACUGAGAGGAAUUCUUGUUUUUA